rnacentral:rRNA from 1 species
UCUUGGGUUGUAAACCUCUUUUCUCAAGGAAGAACACAAUGACGGUACUUGAGGAAUAAGCAUCGGCUAACUCCGUGCCAGCAGCCGCGGUAAUACGGAGGAUGCAAGCGUUAUCCGGAAUGAUUGGGCGUAAAGCGUCCGCAGGUGGCUAUGUAAGUCUGCUGUUAAAUAGUGAGGCUCAACCUCAUAAAGGCAGUGGAAACUACAUGGCUAGAGUGCGUUCGGGGCAGAGGGAAUUCCUGGUGUAGCGGUGAAAUGCGUAGAGAUCAGGAAGAACACCGGUGGCGAAAGCGCUCUGCUAGGCCGCAACUGACACUGAGGGACGAAAGCUAGGGGAGCG